rnacentral:tRNA from 1 species
AGCAGUGUGGCUCAGUGGCAAGAGCCUGGUCUUAGGUGUCAGAGGUCAUGGGUUUGACUCCAGGCUCUGCCA